CCAUUCUAUUAUCAAUAUUUUGUUGAUAUAUCCAGCUAUAAUCAGGUUCCAUCUACACAAUCAAUCACAUUCAAGUAAUUAGUUCAAGUCACAAAAGUUCACAUUUCACAUAUUAACACCUAAACAUUUUCAAGUCACUAAUUCACUUCACAAGUUACCAAACUAAACUAAAGUCAAAUGAAAAGUUCACGUUUCCAGUACCUACACUUAAGCAUUUUGAAGUCACUAAUUCACUUCUCA
rnacentral:lncRNA from 1 species